rnacentral:tmRNA from 1 species
GGGGGUGUAAUAGAUUCGACGGGUAUCUGUUACUGCCCGGGGGCAGGUACUGGUUGGCCAGGCCAGUUAAAAUAGGGCUAAAAAAAUAACUAACGACAAUCAAGUCGCUUGGGCUAACGCUUAGUCCACUGCCGCUUAGGUGCUUUUCACACAUCUAAGCAAGGCAGUCAUCAUGUGAAAUGCAGUACACAAGGCGCGUUUCGUCCGCGUGUAAAUAAGACCAUACGAAACAACUUACUUCGUUGCUGCCGCACGCUUACGGAGUAAGUAUCAAGUGCGGCUAAACCUGUAGGACCUAAGCGGUUAGGAUGUUCGGACGGGGGUGCGAAUCCCCCCACCUCCACU